rnacentral:rRNA from 1 species
AUUGAACGCUGGCGGCAUGCCUUACACAUGCAAGUCGAACGGCAGCACGGGAACAAUCCUGGUGGCGAGUGGCGAACGGGUGAGUAAUAUAUCGGAACGUGCCCAGUCGUGGGGGAUAACGUAGCGAAAGCUACGCUAAUACCGCAUACGAUCUAUGGAUGAAAGCGGGGGAUCGCAAGACCUCGCGCGAUUGGAGCGGCCGAUAUCAGAUUAGGGAGUUGGUGGGGUAAAGGCUCACCAAGCCGACGAUCUGUAGCUGGUCUGAGAGGACGACCAGCCACACUGGGACUGAGACACGGCCCAGAAUCCUACGGGAGGCAGCAGUGGGGAAUUUUGGACAAUGGGCGCAAGCCUGAUCCAGCAAUGCCGCGUGCAGGAAGAAGGCCUUCGGGUUGUAAACUGCUUUUGUACGGAACGAAACGGCCCUCUCUAAUACCGGGGGCUAAUGACGGUACCGUAAGAAUAAGCACCGGCUAACUACGUGCCAGCCGCCGCGGUAACAC